AGUAGAUGAAUUCUCGAGUACAACCCUUUCUUGGUAAAAAAUAUUUGCCUUUCGGUAAGAUCCGACGUAUUCACAGUGGAAAUCCAGUCGCAUGUAUCCGGACUUUUGGAAUGUGAUAAUAGUUCUUCGUCAACGUCAGCAAUAUUACCAGUAUUUGUACCAUGUAAGGGGUCGUCGUACAUCUCAUCUAAUGGUGCAGUCCCAACAUCGAAAAUUGG
rnacentral:lncRNA from 1 species